GUCCCAUGGUAGCAGAUACUGUACCAGACUACAUGGGUCCUUCUGGAACCUCAUCCACAAGUGGGAUAAGUCAAAGCUUCUCUUUUGCUGAGGCCUUUCUAUUCAUGUACAUGAGUGGGCCUCCCACUUUCUCAACCAAUACAAUGUAGCAUCCUUUGGCCAUACUCCAGUAAAAGAGCACCCAACGAGACCAUGGAACACUGCUCUCAGAAAACCAGAAUCUGUGGACUAAGUGCUCAAUACAACAGACCCAUUGGUCCCCACUUGGAGGACAUAAGGAAUCUACUUUGCAAUGGGAUCAACUUUUUCAGAGUUGAAGUUACUGAAAAGUGGACCAGGUGAGAAGUAUGAAGUAGACUGAUAAAUUCUAACCAAGUUAAGACUGAAGCAGCUAAGACAUUGAGGAGACAUCAAGCUCUGACCUAGAAUGCCCUGGGAGAAACACAAAUGAGAUUUUGGACAGAAGCCUCAUGAGGAAUAUAUUUUGUGCUGAUCUGUAGGCUUGAUAAGAACAGAGUACGCUGGGUUCUGUGUACUGGACCAGCAACUACAGGCCCUCAGCAAAUGCCUAUUUUAGAAUAGCAUAAAGGCUCUACUUUUUAAAUUAACACUGAAAACAUUUUGAAGAGAGUAAGUCAAUAAAAAUUAACUGAAAGUGGCAGAUCACACAAUAUUUCAAUAUUUUGUUUCCAUAAUUAGUCAAACAGUGGUGUGAUUCUUUGGUAAGAAUUCAUAUGAAAGUCGAUAGAUGAAAUUA